AGCUCCAAUAGCGUAUAUUAAAGUUGUUGCAGUUAAAAAGCUCGUAGUUGGAUUUCUGUGAGAGUGCCUGCCUCGGCUUGACGCUUGUGGGCAGAUGCUCUUACAUCCUUCUGUUAACUGUUCUUGGCUUUCAUUUGCUGGUUCAGGGCUCAGAUAUUUUACCUUGAGAAAAUUAGAGUGUUUCAGGCAGGCUUAUGCACGGAAUACAUUAGCAUGGAAUAAUGGAAUAGGACCUACGCGUCUCUCGGGGCGCCGGUCUCUGUUGUUGGUUUCGGGGACUAAAGUAAUGAUUAAUAGGGAUAGUUGGGGGCAUUAGUAUUUAAUAGUCAGAGGUGAAAUUCUCGGAUUUGUUAAAGACUAACUUAUGCGAAAGCAUUUGCCAAGGAUGUUUUCAUUAAUC
rnacentral:rRNA from 1 species